UACGUAGGGGGCAAGCGUUGUCCGGAAUCAUUGGGCGUAAAGAGCGCGUAGGCGGCCCUGUAAGUCCGCUGUGAAAGUCAAGGGCUCAACCCUUGAAUGCCGGUGGAUACUGCAGGGCUAGAGUCCGGAAGAGGCGAGUGGAAUUCCUGGUGUAGCGGUGAAAUGCGCAGAUAUCAGGAGGAACACCGAUGGCGAAGGCAGCUCGCUGGGACGGUACUGACGCUGAGCGACGAGAACGUGGGGAGCGAACAGGAUUAGAACCGUACCUC
rnacentral:rRNA from 1 species